GACGAACGCUGGCGGCGUGCUUAACACAUGCAAGUCGAACGGAAAGGCCCUGCUCGCAGGGCACUCGAGUGGCGAACGGGUGAGUAACACGUGGGUGAUCUGCCUUGCUCUUCGGGUUAAGUUUGGGAAACUGGGCCUAAUACCGGACAGGAACUAUCUUUAGCGUGGUGGUUGGAAAGUUUUUUCGGUGUAGGAUGACCUCGCGGCCUAUCAGCUUGUUGGUGGGGUAAUGGCCUACCAAGGCGGCGACGGGUAGCCGGCCUGAGAGGAUGUACGGACAGAUUAGGACUGUGAUACAGGCAGGAGUCGUGCAGGAGGCAGCAGUGGGGAAUAUUGCACAAUGGGCGGAAGCGUGAUGGAGGGACGCCGCGUGAGGGAUGAACGCCUUCAGGUUGUAAGCACCUUUCGCUAGAGACGAAGGUUUGUUGUGACGGUACCUAGAUAAGAAGCACCGGCUAACUACGUG
rnacentral:rRNA from 1 species